GAUCAUGGCUCAGGAUGAACGCUAGCUACAGGCUUAACACAUGCAAGUCGAGGGGCAGCAUUUUAGUUUGCCUGCAAACUGAAGAUGGCGACCGGCGCACGGGUGAGUAACACGUAUCCAACCUGCCGAUAACUCUGGAAUAGCCUUUCGAAAGAAAGAUUAAUACCGGAUGGCAUACGAAUAUCGCAUGAUAUUUUUAUUAAAGAAUUUCGGUUAUCGAUGGGGAUGCGUUCCAUUAG
rnacentral:rRNA from 1 species